AGCGAACGCUGGCGGCAGGCUUAACACAUGCAAGUCGAGCGGGCACUUCGGUGUCAGCGGCAGACGGGUGAGUAACACGUGGGAACGUACCCUUUGGUUCGGAUUAACGCUGGGAAACUAGCGCUAAUACCGGAUACGCCCUUUUGGGGAAAGGCUUGCUGCCGAAGGAUCGGCCCGCGUCUGAUUAGCUAGUUGGUGGGGUAAUGGCCUACCAAGGCGACGAUCAGUAGCUGGUCUGAGAGGAUGAUCAGCCACACUGGGACUGAGACACGGCCCAGACUCCUACGGGAGGCAGCAGUGGGGAAUAUUGGACAAUGGGCGCAAGCCUGAUCCAGCCAUGCCGCGUGAGUGAUGAAGGCCUUAGGGUUGUAAAGCUCUUUUGUCCGGGACGAUAAUGACGGUACCGGAAGAAUAAGCCCCGGCUAACUUCGUG
rnacentral:rRNA from 1 species